GUCUACGGCCAUAUCACCCUGAAAGCACCCGAUCUUGUCUGAUCUCAGAAGCUAAGCAAGGUUGGGCCUGGUUAGUACUUGGAUGGGAAAGGGGUGGGCUUCUGCGGCACUGACC
rnacentral:rRNA from 1 species